GACAAACGCUGGCGGCGUGCUUAACACAUGCAAGUCGAACGGGGUGCCUUAGAUUGAAGCUUCGGCAGAUUUCUUGGUUACCUAGUGGCGGACGGGUGAGUAACACGUGAGUAACCUGCCCUUGAGUGGGGAAUAACACACCGAAAGGUGUGCUAAUACCGCAUAACAUAUCAGAAUCGCAUGUUUUUGAUAUCAAAGAUUUAUUGCUCAAGGAUGGGCUCGCGUCCCAUUAGCUAGUUGGUGAGAUAACAGCCCACCAAGGCGACGAUGGGUAACCGACCUGAGAGGGUGAUCGGUCACACUGGAACUGAGAGACGGUCCAGACUCCUACGGGAGGCAGCAGUGGGGAAUAUUGGGCAAUGGGGGAAACCCUGACCCAGCAACGCCGCGUGAGGGAAGAAGGCCUUCGGGUUGUAAACCUCUGUCCUUGGGGACGAACAAAUGACUGUACCCAAGGAGGAAGCUCCGGCUAACUACGUG
rnacentral:rRNA from 1 species